CUUCUUACUCCUCCACUUCCCUCUGGGCUGGAUAAACACGUUCCCAGAGACCCCAGCUGGUGUCUGGGAGCCAACAGAAGCUGUUGCACCCUCCCUUGCUGGAGCUGCCGCCGCUACGGUAGAAAGACUUGAAAGGACAGGACGUCUCCAAGUUGGACAGGACUUCCCUGGUGGCUCAGGGGAAAGAAUCCGCCUGCCAAGGAAGGAGACACAGGUUUGAUCCCUGGCUCGUCAAGAUCCCCUGGAGGAGGAAAUAGCAACCCCCACUCCAGUAUUGUUGCCUGGAGAAUCCCAUGGACAGAGGAGCCUGGUGGUUACAGUCCGUGGGGUUGCAAAGAAUUAAUUGGACAUGAUUGAGCACUAAGCAACAACUUCAAGCUGGAAAACAACCCAGAGCACACUCAUUCCCCCGAUGCAGGAAGCCCAGGCUCCUGCAGGCAUCCUCUUGCGAGCGUCUGGGUGCUGCUAGCUUUCCCCACUCCCAGGGCCAUGAUAGAGCCAGUUUCCCAGGGUCACACAAGGCCACCUCCAGCAGCAGAAAACUUCCCACCUUAAAGCAAUCUGGAGUGGAUCUAGAAACAGUCUUUCCAAAGAUCUGUGUUUUCUUGGAGGCACCAGACUAAGAAGUUAGCAUGUUGCUGUUGUCUAGUUGCUCAGUGGUGUUCGACUCUGUGACCCCAUGGGCUGUAGCCCACCAGGCUCCUCUAUCCAUGGAAUUUUCCGGGCAAGCAUACUUGCAUGGGUUGCCAUUCCUUUUCCG
ensembl:lncRNA